rnacentral:rRNA from 1 species
CUAAUACCGCAUAUAUUCUGAGGAAGAAAGCAGGGGACCAUUUGGCCUUGCGCUGUUUGAGCGGCCGAUAUCUGAUUAGCUAGUUGGUGGGGUAAAGGCCUACCAAGGCGACGAUCAGUAGCGGGUCUGAGAGGAUGAUCCGCCACACUGGGACUGAGACACGGCCCAGACUCCUACGGGAGGCAGCAGUGGGGAAUUUUGGACAAUGGGCGCAAGCCUGAUCCAGCCAUGCCGCGUGUCUGAAGAAGGCCUUCGGGUUGUAAAGGACUUUUGUCAGGGAAGAAAAGGGCGGGGUUAAUACCCCUGUCUGAUGACGGUACCUGAAGAAUAAGCACCGGCUAACUACGUGCCAGCAGCCGCGGUAAUACGUAGGGUGCGAGCGUUAAUCGGAAUUACUGGGCGUAAAGCGGGCGCAGACGGUUACUUAAGCAGGAUGUGAAAUCCCCGGGCUCAACCUGGGAACUGCGUUCUGAACUGGGUGACUANAGUGUGUCAGAGGGAGGUAGAAUUCCACGUGUAGCAGUGAAAUGCGUAGAGAUGUGGAGGAAUACCGAUGGCGAAGGCAGCCUCCUGGGAUAACACUGACGUUCAUGCCCGAAAGCGUGGGUAGCAAACAGGAUUAGAUACCCUGGUA